GGCACGGUAGCUCAGUAGGUAGAGCAACGGGGUCAUAGUCCGUAGGUCGGGGGUUCAAUCCCCCCCUGUGCCACCA
rnacentral:tRNA from 1 species